rnacentral:rRNA from 1 species
AACGAACGCUGGCGGCAGGCUUAACACAUGCAAGUCGAACGAACGUAGCAAUACGUUAGUGGCGCACGGGUGAGUAACACGUGGAUAUCUGCCUUUUGGUUCGGGAUAACCCUGGGAAACUAGGGCUAAUACCGAAUGGUUCCUACGGGAUAAAGAUUUAUCGCCAAAAGAUGAGUCCGCGUCCGAUUAGCUAGUUGGUGGGGUAAUGGCUCACCAAGGCGACGAUCGGUAGCUGGUCUGAGAGGACGAUCAGCCACACUGGGACUGAGACACGGCCCAGACCCCUACGGGAGGCAGCAGUGGGGAAUAUUGGACAAUGGGGGCAACCCUGAUCCAGCCAUGCCGCGUGAGUGAUGAAGGCCUUC